AUGUCGGCUCUUACACUCUGCUCAUUGCUAACAGUUGGAGUUCUCCUAACUGGUGUUGGUUGUGCAGAUUCAGUCUCACAACAACCGGUGACAGCAAUACAGAAUGAAGGAAAUUCAGUGACCAUUCAUUUCCGCUAUUUGACUAAAGCUGAUUCAUUUUCCUUGCAACUGUAUCGUCAGCACCCAGGUAAAACUCCGACAAUCGUGAUCUACAUUCCUAAAUACGGAAAGGUCGUCAGAGAAAAUGGCAUUGGAGUUCGAUUCUCUGCAUCUCUGGAGGCUUCGAAAACUGAAGGGAAUUUCACUAUUGAUGAACUGGAGUUGUCUGACAGUGCGGUGUAUUACUGCGGGCUGAGAUACACAGUAACUGGAGCCAGAAAGCAACCCAUACAAAAACACUGUCCCUGGUAG